rnacentral:rRNA from 1 species
UGGGGAAUUUUGGACAAUGGGGGAAACCCUGAUCCAGCCAUCCCGCGUGUGCGAUGAAGGCCUUCGGGUUGUAAAGCACUUUUGGCAGGAAAGAAACGUCAUGGGUUAAUACCCCGUGAAACUGACGGUACCUGCAGAAUAAGCACCGGCUAACUACGUGCCAGCAGCCGCGGUAAUACGUAGGGUGCAAGCGUUAAUCGGAAUUACUGGGCGUAAAGCGUGCGCAGGCGGUUCGGAAAGAAAGAUGUGAAAUCCCAGAGCUCAACUUUGGAACUGCAUUUUUAACUACCUGGCUAGAGUGUGUCAGAGGGAGGUGGAAUUCCGCGUGUAGCAGUGAAAUGCGUAGAUAUGCGGAGGAACACCGAUGGCGAAGGCAGCCUCCUGGGAUAACACUGACGCUCAUGCACGAAAGCGUGGGGAGCAAACAGG